CGUCAUCCUGACUGCUCACAUCAUCCAACCUGCAGCACAGCGACCUGAAGGCGCCACACGUUUCAUCAGCAUCAAUUAAAGGAAAACGGCUCGCUUAUGUUCUUUACCAAAAGAUACACUUACUUUAAGACUGAGUGGAUUGCUGCGUGCCCACCCACGGCAGAGAAAGCCCCUGCUUUUAAUCAGGACUCCUGGCAAGAGAAACACACUGCGUGUCCCAUUAUUUAAGCUGCAUUUUCACCGUUUUCCCCCCUGCAUGAAGCAUUGAAGAUUUAAAAUCAUC